rnacentral:lncRNA from 1 species
GUCAGGUUCCUCUGAAACUGGGAUGCACAACCCAAAAACCUGGUCUGAAGCUAAGGUAGGACCUGCUGCCAGUGGUGUUUUGUGUUGGCUCAUGAGCAACCUGGGAGGUAGCCAUGGUCCUUUUAAACUCUGCAAGGCACAGUAACAUUCAGUGUGCAGGAAGAAUCCCAGUCACUUUGGGGUAAAUCAGUAAAGGAACUCUUUGCAGCGCUGCACUUUGGCUCUCCUCAGUCACUGUCCCGUGAGGAUCAGUUCCUGUGGUCACUGCAGCACUUUCCAUGCAUAAAACCCACAUGUGAGAAUAUCUGAACCCUCUGACACGUCCCAGUGCUUCACAAGUCUCUGUAGAACGUGGAUUCUGGGAUAACGCAGAGGAAGGAGAGUGAUGAAGGUAGCAGGGAUUGGGGCAGGGUAGGUAGAUGGGAAUGAGAAGAAUAAAGUCACAAAGAAAGCAGCAGCUCUGGGAGAAACUCCCUGUUAAAGCACAGCUUGCUGGAGAGAACUUUGGGGUCUUUUAGGGUUAACUCUCUGUGUUUUGAGAACACAAUUCUCCUAAGAUGCUUAAUGGUGAGGAGCCCUGUAAUUUUGAAUUCUCAUGGAACAUUUAUAAUACAGUCUAUAUUGUAUCGUAUCUACAGAGUAUCAUUAUAUGAAAUUUCCUUCUGACUGGAAGAAAUCUCGUGUGCUAGGAUGCCAUUACAUUAAUUUAGAAAUAUUGUACUUGCUUUUACUCAGUAGUAAAUGGAGUAGCUGUCUGAGGAUACAUUCAGUGUCUGGAUACACCAUUUGCUUGGCUAGCUCACUGAGAGAAGCAAGGACUGCAUGCCUAAAGCACAGCACAUGGAGGUGAUCUGGAAGUCACAAAUGUGCAUUCGGCCUUUCUGGGUGUAAAAAGUUAGUUAAGCCUUUAACCUCUCCAGAAAGCUCAUUGACAGGGCUGGUGUGCAUUAACACCCCAACAGGAGUUCAGCUGUCACAGCUCUAAUUUAGUCUGUUCCACAAUUUGUGAUCUGUGAAUUCAGCGAAAGUGAGUGAAUGCUUGUCAGAACAUUUAAUAGCACUUGAUUUUUAUGGAAAUUUCUUUUUUUGUGGGCUACCAUAGACCAAUUCAUUUAAAAUAUCAGAGUCCCUAACAGGUGACAGAGAUGUGAAGAGUGUGAGCAGAUGGAUUUCUGAAGGCCUAAUAAUAAGUUUUGUGGCAUUUUCACUGGUUUGUUUUGGUUCUUUAAUCAAAAAUCAGACUGCAGGAGAUGCUGCUGCUGCAGCUUUUUUUCCCCCCGAAAAGUGAAGAAUGAUGUUGUUUGGUGGAGCUUGUUUGUUGAUGCCAUCAAUUUGCUGUGCUGACAGUCCCAGAGGCAGCUGGACCAGUUUUUGUGACAGAGGAUUCACAUAUAAAUUUCUGCGACAUUAAAAUGGGGCUAUUUUUUUUUUUUUUUUUUAAUAAAAUGGGGUUUUGAAAUAGGAGGAUGUAAGCUGUCAGGUGCCAUCUGAGAUACUAACAUUGUCAUGAUGUAAUCCUGGUAGGCUUCAGACAUGGAAAAAGCUGAAAAUGGAUCUGAGAGUGGGAACAAGAGGAAGGGCACAGCAGUGCUCCCAGAGUAAUUGGUCAGAGGAGAAUGAUUGCAAAGGCAGCUCCUGAUGGGAGCCACUGCAAAGGAGGCAGAGCCCUGGAGGUGCCAGAGCCUGGGAGAGCAGGGGAGCCCUGCCCGUGCAGCACAGGGCACUGCAAACCCCCAGGAUGGGAUCACAGCCAGACAGAGCCCGCUGGGCACCGCUGGGGCUGGACACGGCCUCCUGGCAGGUUCCUCAAGGGAGAGGCAUGGACACAGAAUGCCCAAAGAGGGGAAAAGCCCCAGGGAACGGGAUCAGAUUGUUACAACAGUCAUUUUUCCUUUUGUAAACAGUAUUUAAAGCUUUCUGCUUGUAGAAUGCACUGAAUUACGUAUUUUGAAAGAAAAAAGUGAGAAAUUCUGUUUAGAAGUUUAGGCUAUAUUCAGAGAGGAAACACAUAGGGAUUUUCUCUUUUCUUAGCUUUGACUAUUUAUUUUUCAGAUUUUUUUUCCACUCAAAAUACUUUAAUCAAAAAAUUAUAUUUUUAUCCCAAGAUGAAUCUUUAAAUGCAUAAAUAUAUGUGUGAGUGUGUGUUAUUUUUAAUGUUUUUUUCUCUAACUGGUAAAUUACUGAUGUGUUGUAAUCAACAGUGACUCAGAAGAAAGGGAGACUGACUCAUGGAUCUGAUUCAAGUGUUUGCCAGCACUUUUGGAAGGAAUUUCUUUCAUACAGCCUCACUGCAAACUUACCAUUUACUUACCCAGGCUCUGUGCUCAGUUUUCCUAGGGGGUUUCAUCCCCCUGCCUGCUCUGAAAUGAGGCAGUGAGCUGCAGACACAGAAAUGGAUUCAGUGUGGUGCAGUCUGGCUGUUGAGGCAGACUCAGUCACUUGGAGAAGUGUGAGCUCGCUCUGUCCAAGGAAAGGCUGUAUCCCACACCUGAAACCAGAAGCUCUUCCAAAGGCAGCAGUGCCAAGCUCACUCUUGUGACAAACACUGGAAUGCAGCUGAAUGUCACUGGGGAGCAAGGUGUUCUGUGUCUGACCUACAUGAUGAAUGCAAAUGGUGGUUUUAGGAUCCAAAUGGGAAAGCAUAAAAGGCUACAAAAGCCUUAAUUUAUGUUUGUUCAUUUAAAGCUUCAGACCAUUAAGUGGCCAUUAAAUCACUAUUUUAUAUUCUGUUAAGUGCAUCUCUAUCAUCAGAAUAAAAAGAUUGUUUUAAUUCCCCCUGUAUCAAAUAAAACAUCUUAAUUGAGAGCCUUUGUGAUAACAAAUUGGCUGGAAUUGAAAAGUAAAUGCAUGCUGAGCUCUGACGACAGAGCAUCUUUGUGAUUUGGCUUUUAGUGUCUUGUAUGUGCAUGAACAGUUGCAUUAUACAUCUGUUUAUCUGUAUUUAGAGUUCAAUUACAAAGCUUCUACCCCAGGUAAGACUUCCAUUGCACUGAUAGGGUUCUCCAGAUUGAGGUCGGUCACACUAACUCUUCCUGUAGAGCUCAAAUUAUGAGUUUUUAACCAUUUUACCCUUAGCCUCACUGCUAAGGGCCUCCAUUACUUUGACUGUGUCCUGAAAUGGGGAAUAGACACAAGCAGAUGAGAGAAAAUUGCACAUUCUCCUCCCCUUGGAUAUUUCAAUGCUUGUUUUUAUUGCCAGAGGGACAAAAAUUUUAGCAUCUGCCUUUGGCAAAUGGAGAUUUCAAAGAACAUUGAUAUAGAGAUAUAUUUUGACAUAUUUUGUGAUGACAUUUUGAUUGCACUUAAGCACUGCACUCCUGCAAGGGAACUGGUUCCUUCUUUUCCAGUCAUGAGCCUUCCUAUCACCAGUAUUGCCUGGCCUCCAAUUUUCUCGUGGGGCUGGGAAACACCUCUCCCAGGAUGAAUAACUGGGAUGUGUGUAACUAGGUAAUGGCAUGCUCAGCUCUGCAGCAAGUUGAAGUUCUUGUGCUAAAAACAUCUGAAUUCCCAGAUGGAAAUAUUCAAAGAAAAUGCAGUUGGCAAUCAUUGUUUUUAAAACAAAAUAUAUGAUCCUGUUUAAUGUAAUAAAUGGUUCCAGUGUGGUUAAAGCAGACCCCACUACUCAGUUUUCUGAAGAAAACUUUGGCAUUAGGAAGAUCCUUUGAGAUGCCAUUUUUAGGUAAGGCUGUGUGUUAAUAGUUCAGCAAUGGGAUUCCCUGUCAGUGCAUGCACCUGGCAAGGUCACCCCUGUCCCCCAGGAAGGCUGGCUGGCUCCUGCCAUGGCUCUGUUCUCUUCAGCAGGGGGUUCCCAGCGUGGGCAGGAGAGGCUGAGGAGCAGAAGGGCUGAGGAGAGGACACCUGGAGCUCUGUGCAGCGGGAAAGGCCAGGAAAGGGCAGCCCUGGAGCCUGGCUCCCACAGCUGAUCCCAGGUUUAGAACAUCAGAUGACUCCUAGCAGAUGUGAAAUGCUUCUAGAAGCCAAACAGUCAUUCUGUUCAUGCCCUUUGGACCACUCUCUUGAUGAAAUGGCCCCCAGGACCUGUCCCAGCUCUCCCUGGCUACUUCUGCACCAGCAAACUCCAGAGGCCCCUGAGCCCAGAGAUGUGGAGUGCAGCCAGCUCUUUGUAAGAAUAACUAAAAGAAGGCAGAUAACAAACACUGCCAGUUCCCCUCACUGUCAUCAACAGUGAAGUACUUUGCUGAAGCAAAAUGUUAAGAAGCUGAGACUGGACAUUUGAAUACUUAAAAGUUACUGAAUUUUCUGCCCAACUGGAUGGGCUUUUGUGCCUUGUUUCAUGGGGAGCCUCUCAACAGAGUGGAUUUAACGUGAAACUAAUCCAUCUGUGGAAAGAGAAAAGCCCUCUUGUCACCUGGGAUGUGGAGAAUGAGAGGUGCCUCACUGCAGGGAGGAAGGAAGGAAGGACACCCAGGAUGAAGAGGCAGGAGGUGCCUGUGCAGGUGGGAUUGUUCCCAAAGAGAUUUGGCUGUUCCUGAGGCUGCAGCUGAAGGAGGCACUGCCCUUCUCCAGCCCCCGAAGAGCAUCUGGAGGAGUGGAGAGCUUCACCUGUGCUGGCAUGUUGAAAACCCUGAGAGGCUCCAGCUGCAUUUGCCUUCUGCAGAGUGCUGCUGGGAGUGUAGGACAUCGUACAUCAGUGCCCCAGCACUGAGCCAGGAGCAGUGAGGAGGUGCCUGGAGCACUCUUGGUGCUGUGGGGCAGGGACACAGGAGGGGCUCUCUCAUUCCCAAGGGAAGCUCCCUCAGAAUGGUGAGGCUGCCGAGUGGCAUUCUACAUGGAGCUGGCAGCUUUGUGGCUCACUUUGGGGCUCUCAGCUCUCCACAGACCCAUCACUUCUUCUGUGCUGAGGCUCCUGGUUCGGGCAGCACUCGGUGCCUGACGGCUGCAGCCCAGGACGUCCCCUCCUACCUCGGGAAAAUAUUCCACAGCAAGAAAAUAAAUUGCUUCCUUGAAUUCCAGUUCAAAUUAAUGGAAGUCUGGGGGGGAAGAAACAGACAAACAAACGAAGACCUGCCAAAGGAAAGCCUUGCACCUGUCAGUAACUUGUGAAAAGCGAUUCCUCAUUUCUGAGAUCCCUGCCAGGAAUGGGAGAUUUAGCAAGAGUUUCCAAGUUCCUCAGACAAUUGGAAAUGCCCCAGGUCCCUUCUGCAGCCGAUGUCCUCCUGAGGAUGAUGUGUCACCACGUGAAGAUUGAUCUCAGGAAGGACAAAUCAAUUCUGAAACCCAUCGGAGAGGGAAAUGUUUCGAUACGAGCGUGCUCUGCGGGGUCCAGCCAUGGUCGGACAGGAGGAGUCUCCUCCUCCUCCUCCUCCUCCCACAUUCUUUGUCUUUGCUCUGACACAAACCUGGCCCUGUCUCCCCAUCUCUGGGAGUUGGGCACCCACAUUCUUUCGUGGGAAAAAGGAGAGGAAUAUCUGGCUCCCAGUACCUCCACAGAAGAGUUUGAGUCAUUUACAUGAGGAAUUCAGCGAGCAGAGAUCUUCACUUUGAUCAGAUCUGUCUUUUCAGGAACAAGCUGCCACUCUGGGCACCAAAA